UGCUGCUUUGUGUUUUGGUUGACUGGCAGAAUCGAUGAACUGUGGCAAAUUGUGAUCACAGUUCCCAAGCCUGAUCACAAACAGUCAAUUUCAUGUUGAACAAUACGAGAUCCCACAUUUUAAACAAUAAAGAAAAGUUUAUGUAAUCCGUGCCAUACAGUAACAAUUUAUUAUGCUGUCGUGAUACUGUUAAAUGAUAUAUGGAUGAAGGAUCGCGAGAUAUGGUAGAAAAAUAUCAUUACAUUCUGACGAAUUGUUGUUAAUUAUAUUUGCGCAACACACUACUACACGUACACUUCACUGUAUGUUACAGAUCUUCGACAGUUUGGCAAACAGUAUCACGUUUUGGUAUUCGUAUACGAAAAAAAAACAUCACUCUGCUGCACACGCUCAACAAAAAUUGAAGAAUGGUUAAGUAGGUUUCAUGAAACAGACAUUCUUUUACUUGAUUUUCACAUAUCUCAUCCGAAAAAAAAAUGCACGACUGAGGGUACAAUACAAAUUUUGUUUCGGUUUCAAUCUUAUUUUCACUUUUUUGUUCGGGAUUUUAAAAAAAACUUUUUUGUGACUGUGAAAAUUCGAAACUUAUGUGUAAUUUUUUGAGCGCGUUAAGUUUGUUUGCCUCCCACGUAGAAAAAAAGAAAAAAUGUUGUGAAGCGAAAAAAGGUGAAUCAAUUUGUGUUGAAUGUUGUAUUUUUCAAAAAGAAGUGUUCCAAUGAGGUUUGUACUACUUUUCGGGAACGAAAACCUCUGCGCCUUGUGUAAAAUUGAAACCUCCGGAUGUGAAGCCUGCAUCAAAACCAAUUCAAACACAACAUCCCGCUCGGACCGAUGUUCCCCAAUCGAUAUAUCCCCGUAGGGUUCGUCACCGCUCGGUCCCCAGCAAUCAACAAGCGGAUUAUCUACAACAAGCAUUCGACGGAUAACACUUUCGGUGAACCUAAAUCAUUGCAAACCCGGGCCAAAUUCAGCACAUUUUAUAGAUGUGAUCGCGUACCUAGUUGGGAUCUGUUUCCCUUCGGCAAAAGGAAAUGACACCGGCCGGAAUUCAGCAGCUUUAGCCAAUCAGAAGAGCUCGGCAAAAGUGAUUUUUGUGUGACUUCGCAAAUCUAGGAAAUCCAGGAAAUGAUUUCAUUUUUAUAAGUGAAAAUAUAUUAUAAACUUUUCAACAUUGUG